CAGCAGUAGGGAAUAUUGCGCAAUGGGGGAAACCCUGACGCAGCAACGCCGCGUGGAGGAUGACACUUUUCGGAGCGUAAACUCCUUUUCUUAGGGAAGAAUUCUGACGGUACCUAAGGAAUAAGCACCGGCUAACUCCGUGCCAGCAGCCGCGGUAAUACGGAGGGUGCAAGCGUUACUCGGAAUCACUGGGCGUAAAGGGCGCGUAGGCGGAUUAUCAAGUCUCUUGUGAAAUCUAAUGGCUUAACCAUUAAACUGCUUGGGAAACUGAUAGUCUAGAGUGAGGGAGAGGCAGAUGGAAUUGGUGGUGUAGGGGUAAAAUCCGUAGAUAUCACCAAGAAUACCCAUUGCGAAGGCGAUCUGCUGGAACUCAACUGACGCUAAGGCGCGAAAGCGUGGGGAGCAAACAGGAUUAGAU
rnacentral:rRNA from 1 species